GACUCACCUACUUCCACCAACUGCGUCAGGAAGGGGAUCAGCCUCAACCCGAUGCAGUGUGAAGUCGGCCAUUUCUUUCCUGAUCAACUUUGUGUCGCAUGGGACGAGCAUCUCCUCCCUAUGCACUUAUGAUGAGGGGUCUUCAAGGACGCAGCCAGAGCUUGUCUGCAUCGGCCAUCUGACGAGCCCAGCGCGACAGUUCGUCAUUGUUUCCAGAAAUGACAGUCACAAUUCCACUGCAUGAUGACAGCUUAACCUGUGCUUUGGACAAGCUCUUCAAGUUCUACUGGGUAUGCAACGUUGCUUAUCCUGCUCAGCUUGCAUCAGUUUUCCUGUUUUUUGAACACAUUUAUGAUUUGCCAGUGACAAAGACUGUUAGACGACCCAAAGUUUUGGAACUCCUUGGGAAAGUCCAGGCUUUGGCUUAAAGAAUGUCAGUAUGUAUAUUUGCCCUGUGUGCAAACAGCCAGUUCCUGGUGAGAUCAGGAAACUUUGCUGGCAUCUUUUUUGAGUGAUUAACCUUCUUUGAAAAAGUUUAAAUUUUAAAGUAAGCCGAAACUAAGGUUAUAUUGCGCGUAUGUUUUGGACUAUAGUUAAUCUUGUGUGUAUUGUAUUAUCUGGUAUGUGUUCUCAACUGAAUUUUAUGAAUGCUUUUCCUGUGAGUAAGUGAUGAAUUUUUUUAAGGGUCCUGCUGUCCUCCUGGGUUGGGUUGGGGGGGACCCAGGAGGGUUAAAAAUGUUAAAAUGUUAAUAUUAAGCCUAGAUAAAGGUAUUUUUAUGAGUAACUUGAAGGCAAUGUUAAUGUUGACAUGAAAAAUAAACAUUCCAAAGUAUUUUUCAA